rnacentral:tRNA from 2 species
AGGGGCGUAGCUCAGUUGGUAGAGCAGCGGUCUCCAAAACCGCAGGUCGCGGGUUCGAGUCCUGCCGCCCCUGCCA